AACGGACGCUGGCGGCAUGCCUAACACAUGCAAGUCGAACGAGAUCUUCGGGUCUAGUGGCGCACGGGUGCGUAACGCGUGGGAAUCUGCCCUUUGGUUCGGAAUAACAGUGGGAAACGACUGCUAAUACCGGAUGAUGACGAAAGUCCAAAGAUUUAUCGCCAGAGGAUGAGCCCGCGUAGGAUUAGCUAGUUGGUGUGGUAAAGGCGCACCAAGGCGACGACACUUAGCUGGUCUGAGAGGAUGAUCAGCCACACUGGGACUGAGACACGGCCCAGACUCCUACGGGAGGCAGCAGUGGGGAAUAUUGGACAAUGGGCGAAAGCCUGAUCCAGCAAUGCCGCGUGAGUGAUGAAGGCCUUAGGGUUGUAAAGCUCUUUUACCCGGGAUGAUAAUGACAGUACCGGGAGAAUAAGCUCCGGCUAACUCCGUGCCAGCCGCCGCCGUAA
rnacentral:rRNA from 1 species